CCUUUUUAUUAUUAAACCAUUUUUUCUUUGUAAUGAAAUAUGUAAGUCCGCUCCAUGUAAUAAAUCUUCAAUCUAAUGUAAUAAAACCCGAAAAUAUUUGCGGACAUGGUUACGGGCUUACAUAAGGUUUUGGGCUUUAAUGGGCCUUUUUGGGCCUAUGCAUUAGUAGAGCCCAUAAAAUAAAGUAUCUAGGGGUUUGAUGCAUAUAAAACAGUUAGCUGACCAUCAAUAUCUAUUUAGCUAACUCCGCCGCUUCUUUCUCAUUUUCUUAGAUCUAAAACAUCGAUCAGAGGAGUGAAGGGUUGGAUCUUCAGCGAAAGACAACAUGAGAGCUAAGUGGAAGAAGAAGCGUAUGAGGAGGUUGAAGAGGAAGAGACGAAAGAUGAGACAGCGAUCUAAGUAGAUUCGGAACCCGUUUUGUCUCUUUUUAUUUUAGUUCUAAACCGACAUUUGUGAGAGUUUUGUUGGUUUUUCUAUCUGAAUUUGAAUGUUUUUGUUGGACCAUUCUAUCUUUUCAGUCUGAAUACUUGUGUUUUACUACAUGAAAGAAUCCACGACUGGGUUCUCGAUUUAUCCCUUUUAUUAUC